AAAGCUCACAAAGAGAGUUGAUCCAAGUAUCAUCGCAAAGGCAAAAUAAUAGUAGGGUCGGGAUAUCCCAACCCUCCAAACUGGACGCGAAGUUCUUCCCUCGUCCGGCUCUCUACAGGGGAAUCUUCACUCACCACGUCCCCUAAUUUUGAGAGCGGUUGACCCCCAUUCCCCUUCACCAUGUAUGGCCAAUAAACUCCUCGCUUUACUUCCUCCAAUCCCUCCAAGCUUCUAUGCGAACAAUCAAAU